CUGCUGCUAGUGCUAGUCUUUAUCAUUUCGGGAAACCAUGCAUUCUUUGAGCCCAUGAUCAUGCAGUAGGCUAUUAGCUUAUCUAUCAUGAUAUCGGAUGGAUUGAGAUUAGUGAUCAAAUGUUAAAUAUUUGUCCUCUUAGCACACCUUGGUCCUAUUUCUAGCCUCCAAUAGAAAAACUAGAGCCUUCCCUUGUCACAUUAGGAGAGUUCAUGAACUUUGUACCAUUUUUUUAGAUUUCCCUCCAGGCAAUGGCGCUUUCUUCAUUAGAUUCACGCAUCUAUCAUCCGACGCAGUUCGUGCUCGUUGUACUGGGCGUAAAUGUUGCUAAUGUCAUCGGGAUGUGUGGCGUAAACCGGAAGAAAGUGUCUCCGCAAUCCCCUGACGAGCCUCAACACGAAAUGGAACAAACGCACUACUUUCCAAGGGAUGGCGAGGAACAACGUCGGGGUAGUAAUCUCUCGAGUCAACAUUGUCUGUAGCUCCAAGGAAUUCGAUGGUGGAGAAUGACGGCCGAAUCCGCAACUAGGACCAACAAGAAACCCGUUGCUAUAAUAAUCAGACCCUGUUUUAAGCCAAUGGUACGCUACCUUCAUCAUUGGUGAGUCAAUGAUGAGACCAGGAAAGGAGGAAGAAGAAAGCACAGCCACUCGACCCAAAAGAGCCAACGUUUCUAAAAACCUUCCAGCUGUGUGGCACGUAGACAACGUCAGCAUCGAGCAGGCCAAAAAAAAAGGCGAGUUAUUUAUUUGGCUUUAAUUCAAACAAGAAAAAAAGAAAGAAAAGGGACCCGUCAAUCCUUUCCUUCAUGGGAACGAAGCCAAGGCAUUGGCAAACAGAGUUCUUUUUUGUCUGUCCAAAGUCCGUUUUUUUUUUUUCUCUUUCCAUCUUAUACCUCGACGGGAGACUCUUUGACUGUGUCCCAUCUUAUUUUUGUUGUUGUUAUAUAGCAGGCUCAUCCAUUAUUCAUGAUCAUCCCCUAUGUGUGAGCAGCAGUUCCUUGAUCGUCGGUUCGUUUGAAAUACCGCAACAUGUACACCCCAAUCCAUUUUUAGACAAUCGACAAAUAAUUGCAAAAACGAGUCAACAAGUGUAUUGACAAUCAACGGGGUCGGAUAUUUUGAUUUCGAAAGUAUGCAGGUCUAAAGUAGUUGGAAGACUUAGAAGUAGUAAGAGUAGGCUGGAUAUUGCGGGAAUCC